rnacentral:rRNA from 1 species
AAGGACGCGGUAAUCUGCGAUAAGCCUCGGGGAGCUGAUAAACGAGCUGUGAUCCGAGGGUCUCCGAAUGGGGAAACCCCGCCGCGUGUUAUGCGUGGUGACCCGCACCUGAAUUCAUAGGGUGUGUGGAGGGAACGUGGGGAAGUGAAACAUCUCAGUACCCACAGGAAGAGAAAACAACAGUGAUUCCGUCAGUAGUGGCGAGCGAACGCGGAAGAGGCCAAACCGAUGGUGUGUGAUACCCGGCAGGGGUUGCAUCAUCGGGGUCGUGGGGCGUGUCGUCCCGGGUCUGCCGGCCCGGGCGUGUGAGUGCAGGGCGAUAGUCGAACCGGUGUGAGUGCCGGACCGGAGAGGGUGAGAGUCCCGUAGACGAAAUCGUUGCUGCCGCACGGUACGCGUACCCAAGUAGCACGGGGCCCGAGAAAUCCCGUGUGAAUCUGCCAGGACCACCUGGUAAGCCUAAAUACUACCUGAUGACCGAUAGCGGACCAGUACCGUGAGGGAAAGGUGAAAAGUACCCCGGGAGGGGAGUGAAAUAGUACCUGAAACCGUGUGCCUACAAACCGUCGGAGCCCUACAAGGUGACGGCGUGCCUUUUGAAGAAUGAGCCUGCGAGUUAGUGUUACGUCGCGAGGUUAACCCGUGAGGGGUAUCCGUAGCGAAAGCGAGUCUGAACAGGGCGAGUGAGUGGCGUGAUCUAGACCCGAAGCGAAGUGAUCUACCCAUGGCCAGGUUGAAGCGCGUGUAAGAGCGCGUGGAGGACCGAACCCACUU